GUUGGGUCUAAAAUGCAAAGGUUCUCGCUACGGAUUUUGCCCGGACUGGUUAACACGAAGGUCGAUAUGUACGUGUUAUUAUCCAGAUGAAAUGUUAAGGAAUUCAAGGUUGCUUUGGGUUUGUUUAUGGGGAAGCAUGGGAAUAUUGUUUACUUCUGUUUCUCUCUUUUAUGUCCGAUGAAACUAAGGAAACUCCCGACCAUUCCUUAAAUACACAAAGAAAAACGUGGUACUUUUUAUGGGUAUAUCUCCAUUUGUUUCCCUCCUUUUGUAUGAGCGUAAAGAAACUCCGGCCUUAAUCACAGGGAGAGAAACGCGAGCAAAUUUUUACGAAUAUUUCUCCACCGAUUUGCUUCUCUUGUGUCCUAUGAAAUUAAAGGAACUCCAAGUAGUUUUUAAUUAAACAAAACGGAUGAAUUAGGGUAUUUCUCCAUUUCUCUUCUUUCCCAUAAACGUAAAGAAACUCCAAGCGGUUUUCAGUUACACGAGAAACAUAUGAAUUUAGUUAUUUCUCUGUUUUUUUUUUACUUUCCCAUAAACGUAAAGAAACUCCAAGUGGUUUUUAGCUACAUGAGAAACAUAUGAAUUUAGUUAUUUCUGUUUUUUUACUUUUCCAUAAACAUAAAGAAACUCCAAGUGGUUUUUAGUGACACGAGAAACAGAUGAAUUUAGUUAUUUCUCUGGUUGUUUUCCUUCCCAUAAACAUAAAGAAACUCCAAGCGGUUUUUAGUUACAUGAGAAACACGCAUUUAGUUAUUUCUCUGGUUGUCUUCCUUCUCAUAAACACCAAGAAACUCCAAGUGGUUUAUGGUGACACGAGAAACAUGAAUUUAAUUACUUUUCAGGAUCUGCUCUUUCUAUAAACAUGAAGAAACUUACACGAGAAACAUAUGAGUUUAGUUAUUUCUCUGGUUGUUUUCCUUCUCAUAAACGUAAAGAAACUCCAAGCGGUUUUUAGUUACACAAGAAACAUAUGAAUUUAAUUACUUUUCAGGAUCUGUUCUUCCCAUAAACAUAAAGAAACUCCAAGCGGUUUGUAGUUACACAAGAAACAUGAAUUUUAGUUAUUUCUCCGUUUCUCUGUUCCCCAUAAGCAUAAGAAACUCCAAACUGUUUCUUAAAUACAUAAAGAAACUCCGUAAAUUAUUCCUCCACGUCUUUCCACACAAACCGCCAUCUCAAGACUCCACACGACCCAACGCUUUAGGAUCUGAACGCAUCCUUUCGCGAGUCCCUAAGUGAAGGAUCCUUGGGACUAGCAGAAAAUAAAUAAACUCAAACAAGAAUGGCAUGAACUAAAUAAAAGAGACACAUGAUAAUCCACCAAUUGUCAUGAACUUAAGACACAUAUAAAAACAAUUAUCCACCAAUUGUUAUGAACUUAAAGAUACAUACAUACACACAUGAUGACCCACUAUACAGAGAAAGUCGUGAAUGAAGAGACUACAGUGGACCUUAUAUUUAGCACAAAAAAGGUAUCAAAGAAGUUAAUAGGUAAAUGGAGGUGUUAGUUUAGUGAGAUUGGCAAUUUUUAGGGUGGUGGGACUGUGUGUGUGUGUGUGUGUGUGUGUGUGUGUGUGUGUGUGUGUGUGUGUGUGUGUGAAGGGGUCAGUUUAAGAAGUGUGUUAUAGAGGAUAGAAAUAAUGAUGAUGAUUAUUGGGGUGCUCUUUCUUGGCGCAGGAUAGAAAUGAGAAAAUGCACUAAAAUGAGGGUCUACUAUUCUAAUGGGAAGGGUUCAAGCGUCCAUUCCAACACAAGACAGCAAGGUAAUGUGUGUUUGUGUAUGUAAAGGGGUCAGCUUAAAGAGUGUGUUAUAGAGGAUAGAAAUAAGAAAAUGGACUAAAAUGAGGGUCUACUAUUCUAAGGGGAAGGGCUCGAGUCCGUUCCAACAAAAGACAGCAAGGUAAUGUAAGUUUGUGUGGGAAGGAAUAAGCUUUACGACAUGUUAUAAGGAAAUCGUUUAAAGACAAAUGCACUAAAUAGAGGGUCCACUGCACUAAAGAAGAACAGAUGUAGGGCAGUAAGGUUAAGUGACUCUAAUACAGCCUUCCCUUACUGUAUGUUGUGUGUGUGAAUGAUAUGAACUCAAGGACAUGUUAAAGAGAAAUCCUACACAUGAAAUGCAAUAAAUAGAGGGUCCAAACAUAAGACAGUGAGGGAAAGUGACCCUAAAACAGCCUUCCCUUACUGUAUGUUAUGUGUGAAUGAUAUGAACUCAAGGACAUGUUAUAGAGAAAUCCUACACAUGAAAUGCAAUAAAUAGAGGGUCCAAACAUAAGACAGUGAGGUUAAGUGACCCUAAAACAGCCUUCCCUUACUGUAUGUUGUGUGUGUGAAU